AGUGAACGCUGGCGGUAGGCCUAACACAUGCAAGUCGAACGGCAGCACAGUAAGAGCUUGCUCUUACGGGUGGCGAGUGGCGGACGGGUGAGGAAUACAUCGGAAUCUACUUUUUCGUGGGGGAUAACGUAGGGAAACUUACGCUAAUACCGCAUACGACCUACGGGUGAAAGCAGGGGAACUUCGGACCUUGCGCGAUUGAAUGAGCCGAUGUCGGAUUAGCUAGUUGGCGGGGUAAAGGCCCACCAAGGCGACGAUCCGUAGCUGGUCUGAGAGGAUGAUCAGCCACACUGGAACUGAGACACGGUCCAGACUCCUACGGGAGGCAGCAGUGGGGAAUAUUGGACAAUGGGCGCAAGCCUUAUCCAGCCAUACCGCGUGGGUGAAGAAGGCCUUCGGGUUGUAAAGCCCUUUUGUUGGGAAAGAAAAGCAGCAGGUUAAUACCCCGCUGUUCUGACGGUACCCAAAGAAUAAGCACCGGCUAACUUCGUG
rnacentral:rRNA from 1 species